rnacentral:lncRNA from 1 species
UUUUUUUUAGUUUCGGUUUUGUUAUUAGAUCGGUUUUAUUUUCGGUUUAGUUUAAUUAGCGAGCGUUCGCUCCUUCGUUCGUUUUAACGAACGCAUUCAUCAUUUAGAUCUGGAUAACGAACGUUCGUUCGUUAACCUGUUUGUCGUUUUUCUUUUUCUCGGAUUUAAUCUGCGAUUUUUGUGAUCGCGAUUUCUGAUCCGAUUUUUGUUCUAGUAUAACUUUUCGCUCGUUUAUCGGAAUCUGGCAAUUCAAGCGCCUGGAGUUUCGUCUGGAAACCGUCUUUCCGAAUAACCAACUUGAACAAGUUUUUGCUACUAUAAAAAUUGACUUAGAUCUAGAUUAGUAAAACGAAGUUGUUUUCUUUCGCCGUUUGACUUUCGUAUCUUCGUUCGAUUUGAUUCUUUGUGCAAACCGGAGUUCUUAAGUUGAACUUUCUGGUUAGAUCUCUUAUUUGAGUUUUAACUGUGCAUUAGAUGGGUACUUAUUGUAUGCUUGUUUGUUUGUCUGUGAUAGAAUACCCGGAGUGCGCCGCCUGUUAUUUCGAGUCUCUAGGUUUCGCGGGUCAUCAGCAAGGCAAGUAACACUUUGAUCAUUCUUUUCUCAUACCCAGUUUUUAUGCAUUAUAUCAAUCCUCAAACAUUGCAUGAUUAGGAUCUAAUUAAUUUGUGGGUUUUGGGAAGUAGUUGAGGUAGUACCUAUUACCUGUUUUAUUUUCAAACCUUUGGGAGUUACUUCUACGUUUGCUUAUUAUGCCAUGCUAUGCUAGUUGACGUGGAUUGGGUGAGUGUAUCCAUGACAGAUGUGAGAUUGUUAAUUAAUGGUUUACUUAAGGUGGCAACUUAAAUACACAUCUGGGUGGAUUGAGGUACCUGGUUUCCAGGAUUUGCCUGUUUUUCUUCGGACCGCCACCCAGGCUCAAAGGGAUCAUAAGAUUAUUUAUGCUAGAAACUUCUGUGUGCAGCCACAUGCUACUAUGGGAUCUAGCAUAGUUGACUAAGUCGUGCGAACUCUUACAGUGGUAGACUAGCUGAUGUAGGGGUUGUAGGUUGGUACGGUCUACCCGUUACGUAAGGUGCAAGCGCUUCUGAAAGACUAUGUCUCGGUCAUCCGUUUCUCUAACACCAUGUAGUGCGAGAAAUCAAACGGAGGAGAUCGAGUCAUGUGGGGAAAAGUGCGCAAACCUCUACAGAGUGUAACAAACUAAUCAUGGUUAGACGUGUCCCUGGUUAUGGACAUCUUGAGUAUCUAGUACUUGGAUAUCAUGUGAAUCUCAUCAUGUUACUUCUAAUUAAUAUUGAUGGGAUGUUAAUGAGUACUUUUAAUUGGGACUGAGAAUGCUGUCAACCAUUCUCAAUGUUUAACAACCACCAUGAUAGUUAAAUAAAUUUAUUCCUUUGUAGUAGGGGAAAAUUGGCUUUACGCAAAACUGUAACCAUAGAGCUUUCCACCAGCCAAAUAUGCAUGUAGUAUAGCUUACUCUUUCAUUACUCUCUAUGUGUUACAUUGCCAGCAUAUUCCAUGUGCUGACCGUUUCGGGCUGCAACGUUUCAUGUUGCAGACUUUUCAGACGACGAGUAAGGUGCCUUUAGGUCGUGGUUCUAUACUCAGUGAUGCCGUUGGAGUUGAUGGACUCACUUAUCUUCCAAGCCUUCCGUUGUUAUCGUAUUUAGAUGGCCUUAAGCCAUAUUUAUUGUAAUAAGCUCUCUUUGGAGACACUCGAUGUAAUAAGUGUAUGAUUGCUACUCUGUUAUAAAUCCUUCAAGUACUGUACGUGUCAGCAUUACUAAUCCAGGGAUGACACUGAUGCACAGAGAUCAGACUGUCUGAGGUCUGGUCGCUACAAAGAUGGUAUCAGAGCACACGCUGACUGUAGGACACGACCACUAAGCAAAAGCCCUAGAAUGCUACUCUCUUCUCAUUUUUCUGACUCCUCAUCUUUUCUAUUCUUUAGGAUGGCGGAUGCAAGGAACAAGUUCAUGCAACCGGAUGAAGAUACACCCUUUGGACGACACCUAAAGGAAGUCACCAAGUACUUGAAGACUGGAGUACCAAGCUUCACCGGAACCUACAACGCCACUUUGCCUGAAGAGGAGCGCUGGAUCAUUCAAGUUCAAAUUCCAGGAAGGACGUUCAUGCCCAUCACUGAGACCAUAGUGUUUUCCUUUGAUGCACCAACCUGGAACCUAGGAAAGAGCAUGGCAGCCCACAUUUCCAUGGGACAUAUUGGAGAAGUCUAUCACAAGGAACUUAAGGAUACUAUCUACCAGAUUUUUGGGCGCCGAGAUGAGCAAUGGGAGAUGGUCAGCACCCGGAAGGACCGCUCAAUUGCAGCUUUCAUCCAGGAGUUGAACCAGCACAUCCGACGCCAGGAGAACCAAAUGUGCGCAGGGAUGAUGGAUCUGAAGAAGGCCAUGGUCAAAAUCACGGAACUGGAGGAAGAACUCAAGUCUACACAUGAUGGAUACGAGGAGGAAAUAGCAACACUAGUUGAGAAGAGCGAUGAUCUGAAGAAGAAGCUGAAAGUCUUUAUGGGAUUUCCUGGGACAGAAGGAGAAGAUGAAGAUUUCACAUGCCCAGAGAACUACAUCAUCAUUGACGACACCGACUCGGACCCAGAUGAUAGUGAUGAUGAUUAUGUUGAUGAAGCUGGAGCAGAUAUCAUGAAGUCUUCAACAGAGCAGUUUUUCUAGUCGACUACCAUAACAGUAGUAGUUUUCCACCAUGUAUCUAGUUUAGUUCACACACUUUUUGCGAUAGUUCUAGACCGAUUGUAUGCCCUUGUUUGAUUGAAUGAAGUGAUUUUGUGUGCAUUUGCCUCAUGAGCAUUUGGGUAGUGUUUUCUCUUUAGACCUCAUUUUGUUCUUAAUUUUGAUCUUUUCUAAACCCUCAGAUGCCUCCGAGAUGUGAUAAUGGAUUUCCACCGGAGCUCACCCAGUUGAUCCAGCAGCAGAAUGCAUUGAUGCAGAUAUUAGUCCAGAAUCAGAAUCAGGGGAACAACAACAACAACAAUCCACCACCGCCACCACCUGUUGAUCAUUUAACCCAUUUUCUUAGGCUGAAUCCGCCGGUGUUCUCCAGUAGCACCGAGCCGAUAGUAGAAGAUGAUUGGCUCCGCAAGACAGGGAAGGAGUUGACCACUGCAGGUUGCACAGAUGCGGAGAAGGUGCGAUUUGCCGCACACUAGCUUGAUGGACCCGCAGCAGCAUGGUGGGAGAAUUUUACAGCCACUUAUCCUGUAGACACUGUCACAUGGGAUCAGUUUCAGCAAGCAUUCCGUACUGCCCAUGUUUCGGCAAGAGCUAUGGCCAUGAAGAAGCGUGAGUUUCACAACUUGUGCCAAGGAGGACGGACAGUUGGCCAGUAUGUGGAUGAAUUUAGUAAACUAGCAUGUUAUGCCCCAGAUGACGUUGCUACGGAUGCAGCUAAGCAGGAGAAGUUUCUGGAAGGGCUGAAUGAUGAGCUGAGCAUGCAGUUGAUGGUAGCAAAUUUCAACAACUACCAGGAGUUGGUAGAUCGUGCUCUUAUGAUUGAAGGGAAGAAGCAGCAGAUUGAAAACCGCAAGCGGAAGUAUGGACAGGGGAAGUACAACUCUGGAGCCCAACAGAAGCCCCGUCUUACCCCUAAACCGGGAGGGCAAUUUCAGCAUACUCAUGGAGGAGGUAGCUCGCACAAUCAUAAUGGCACAAAGAAUGGAAACGGGAAUGGAGGAAACAAUGGACAAAACCGCACCAACCCGUCAACACCAUCCAAGGUAGACCUGAGCCAUAUCACUUGUUUUAAGUGUCGUAAGACUGGGCAUUAUGCAAAUGAAUGUCCAGAAGCCCAAAAUGGUAACGGCAAUGGAAGCUCAGGAAAGAAGCCGAACCCUUUCAACAGGGGACAGGUGAACCACGUUACCGUGGAGGAGGUUGAAGCUCAGCCAGACGCAGUAAUAGGUAAGUUUUUGGUUAAGACAUUUACUGCAGUUGUUCUUUUGAUACUGGUGCAUCGCAUUCAUACAUAUUAAGGGGAUUUGUGGAUAAGUAUAAAUUACCAACCCAAGCCCUUAGGUCACCCAUGCUAGUAACCUCACCCGGAGCAGAAUACAUUAAUAGUAUAUGGUGUGAUCGAUUACCGUUAAGGAUUGGACACUAUGUUUUUCCCUCGGACCUAAUAGUUCUGGAAUCGCAAGGACUAGAUGUGAUAUUAGGCAUGGAUUGGUUAUCGAAGUAUGGAGGGAACAUAGAUUGCGCCAGUAAGUCGAUUUUGCUUAUCACCCCGGAAGGCUAACGUUGUAGCAGACACGUUGAGCCGUAAGAGCCAUGUCAACACCCUAAUGACCGGAGGUUUACCAAAAGAAUUAGCCGAGGAAUUCCGAGAGCUAUGUUUGGAAAUAGUUCCGAGAGGCUAUGUAGCAGCAUUGGAAAUUCAGUCUACCUUGAUGGAUAAAAUCAGAGAAGCUCAAAGGACAGAUAAGGAAGUUGCUUCUAUUAAGGAGAAGAUGAGCAAGGGAAAAGCUAAGGGAUUUCGUGAGGAUGAACACGAUACACUAUGGUUUGAAGACCGCGUAUAUGUGCCCAAUGACCCAGAGAUCAGGAAGUUGAUUCUGCAAGAAGCACAUGAUUCACCGUAUUCGAUUCACCCAGGAAAUACCAAGAUGUAUUUGGAUUUGAAGGAUACAUUCUGGUGGACCGGAAUGAAGAAAGACAUUGCGGAGUACGUAGCAGUUUGCGAUGUAUGUCAAAGAAUAAAAGCAGAGCAUCAAAAACCAGCAGGAUUGCUACAGCCAUUGCCGAUACCCGAAUGGAAGUGGGAUAAGUUAGGCAUGGAUUUUAUCACGGGAUUACCAAGGACUCGUUCCGGCUAUAACUCAAUUUGGGUUGUAGUUGAUCGGUUGACGAAGGUAGCACAUUUCAUCCCAGUAAAGACCACUUACACCAGUGCUAAGUUGGCCAAGAUAUACAUGACCAGGAUCGUCUGUUUGCAUGGAGUUCCGAGGAGUAUCGUAUCAGAUAGAGGAACCCAGUUUACCUCAAAGUUCUGGAAGCAGUUGCACGAGACUUUGGGUACCAGGCUAGAGUUCAGUACAACUUUUCAUCCACAGACAUAUGGACAGACCGAGAGAGUCAAUCAGAUUUUGGAGGAUAUGCUGAGAGCUUGUGCGCUAGAUUAUGGAUCAAGUUGGGAUGACAAUUUGCCAUAUGCAGAGUUUUCUUACAACAACAGCUAUCAAACCAGUUUGAAAAUGGCCCCUUUCGAAGCCUUGUACGGAAGGAGGUGCAGGACACCGUUGUCAUGGGACGAGGUUGGAGACCGCCAGUGGUUUGGACCUGAUUUGAUUAAGGAGUCUGAACAGAAGGUGAAGUUAAUUCAUGAAAGGCUCAAGGUAGCCCAGUCCAGGCAGAAGAGCUAUGCGGAUUCAAAACGCAAGGAGACAGAAUAUGAAGUCGGAGACAGAGUUUAUCUUCGAGUAUCCCCGCUUCGAGGAGUUAAGCGAUUUGGAGUUAAAGGAAAGUUAGCGCCCCGAUUUGUAGGACCAUAUCGUGUUUUGGAACGUAUGGGAGAAGUUGCUUACAAGUUGGAAUUACUCGAGGGAUUGUCAGGUGUUCACGAUGUGUUCCAUGUUUCUCAGUUGAAGAAGUGCCACGCAGAGAUGGCUGACAUACCGUUGAGAGACACAGUGCCGUUGGAAGCAAUUCAGUUGGAUAACAAUUUGACCUAUGAGGAGAAACCAGUUAAGAUUCUCGAGUUUGCCAGCAGAGUCACCCACAGCAAGGUUAUCAAGUUCUGUAAGGUUCAGUGGAGCCACCACUCGGAGGAUGAAGCCACUUGGGAACAAGAGGAAGAUCUGCUCAAGGACCACCCUCACCUAUUUUCUAGCCAACCCGAAUCUCGAGGGCGAGAUUCAUCUUAAGGGGGGUAGGUUUGUAACAUUCCAAAUUUUCAAUUUAGAAUGUUAUACAUUAGAUCAUCAAUGCAUAUCAUAUUUUAUUUGCUUUUCGUUUUGAUCCUAGAAAUUCUACGCAACCCAAGGAUCCACGGAGAGAGUUGGGGAUUUCGUUAUUUUCAUAUUUGAGUUUUCUCAAAUUUUGGGAAUAGGAUCAUUUGAUUUUAUUUAUUUCAUCAUCAAUUAUUUCUAUUACAAAAAUAUGAGAGAGGGAAUAAAAUGACUUUCCCAAAAUAAAGAAAUAUUGAUGAUUUAAUAAUAAAAUCAAAUAAGAUUUUAUUUCAGAGUUUUUCGUUAUUUUAUUUGAAUUUAGGAAAAUAUAUGCGUUUUCCAAAAUUGCAUUUAGGCCCCAAAUAAAUGUUCACUUUGUCCGGCUUGAUUUUAGAAGUCCGGGAAAAUUUAUUUCGGGAUUUUUGGAGUCCGUUUAGUAUUUCUUUUUAUUUCUUUUCUGAGCGUAAUUAUUUAAAAAAAACGCGAACCGCCUUACGGGCCGUGCCCGAGAGGGACUCCGCCUGGGGGCAGCCUUUAAAUAACCACCGCCCGAGCGCCCCCAGCCCACCAGCGCCCGCCGCCAGCCCACCCUGCCCCAAAACCCUAGCCGCCAGCGCCCGCCNNNNNNNNNNNNNNNNNNNNNNNNNNNNNNNNNNNNNNNNNNNNNNNNNNNNNNNNNNNNNNNNNNNNNNNNNNNNNNNNNNNNNNNNNNNNNNNNNNNNNNNNNNNNNNNNNNNNNNNNNNNNNNNNNNNNNNNNNNNNNNNNNNNNNNNNNNNNNNNNNNNNNNNNNNNNNNNNNNNNNNNNNNNNNNNNNNNNNNNNNNNNNNNNNNNNNNNNNNNNNNNNNNNNNNNNNNNNNNNNNNNNNNNNNNNNNNNNNNNNNNNNNNNNNNNNNNNNNNNNNNNNNNNNNNNNNNNNNNNNNNNNNNNNNNNNNNNNNNNNNNNNNNNNNNNNNNNNNNNNNNNNNNNNNNNNNNNNNNNNNNNNNNNNNNNNNNNNNNNNNNNNNNNNNNNNNNNNNNNNNNNNNNNNNNNNNNNNNNNNNNNNNNNNNNNNNNNNNNNNNNNUUUUCCAUGCCAUUUUUUUUAGAAAACCGAUCGGCUUUCCGUCGGUUUUAUUUUCGGUUUUUUUUAGUUUCAGUUUUGUUAUUAGAUCGGUUUUAUUUUCGGUUUAGUUUAAUUAGCGAGCGUUCGCUCGUUCGUUCGUUUUAACGAACGCGUUCAUCGUUUAGAUCUGGAUAACGAAUGUUCGUUCAUUAACCUAUUCGUAGUUUUUCUUUUUCUUGGAUUUAAUCCGCGAUUUUUCUGAUCACGAUUUCUGAUCCGAUUUUCGUUCUAGUAUAACUUUUCGCUCUUUUAUCAGAAUCAGGUGAUUCAAGCGCCCGGAGUUUCGUCUCGAAACCCUCUUUCCGAGUAACCAACAUGAACAAGUUUUGCUACUGUAAAAAUUGACUUAGAUCCAGAUUAGUAAAACGAAGUUCUUUUCUUUCGCCGUUUGACUUUCGUAUCUUCGUUCGAUUUGUUUCUUUUUGCAAACCGGAGUUCUUAAGUUGAAUUUUCUGGUUAGAUCUCUUAUUUGAGUUUUACAUGUGCAUUAGAUGAGUACUUAUUGUAUGCUUGUUUGUUUGUCUGUGAUAGAAUACCCGGAGUGCGCCACCUGUUAUUUCGAGUCUCUAGGUUUUGCGGAUCAUCAGCAAGGCAAGUAACACUUUGAUCAUUCUUUUCUCAUACCCAGUUUUUAUGCAUUAGAUCAAUCCUCAAACAUUGCAUGAUUAGGAUCUAAUUAAUUUGUGGGUUUUGGGAAGUAGUUGAGGUAGUACCUAUUACCUGUUUUAUUUUCAAACCUUUGGGAGUUACUUCUACGUUUGCUUAUUACGCCAUGCUAUGCUAGUAGACGUGGAUUGGGUGAGUGUAUCCAUGACAGAUGUGAGAUUGUUAAUUAAUGGUUUACUUAAGGCGGCAACUUAAAUACACAUCUGGGUGGAUUGAGGUACCUGGUUUCCAGGAUUUGCCUGUUUUUCUUCGGACCUCCACCCAGGCUCAAAGGGAUCAUAAGAUUAUUCAUGCUAGAAACUUCCGUGUGCAGCCACAUGCUACUAUGGGCUCUAGCACAGUUGACUAAGUCAUGCGAACUCUUACAAUGGUAGACUAGCUGAUGUAGGGGUUGUAGGUUGGUACGGUCUACCCAUUACGUAAGGUGCAAGCGCUUCUGAAAGACUAUGUCUCGGUCAUCCGUUUCUCUAACACCAUGUAGUGCGAGAAAUCAAACGGAGGAGAUCGAGUCAUGUGGGGAAAAGUGCGCAAACCUCUGCAGACUGUAACAAACUAAUCAUGGUUAGCCGUGUCCCCGGUUAUGGACAUCUUGAGUAUCUAGUACUUGGAUAUCAUGUGAAUCUCAUCAUGUUACUUCUAAUUAAUAUUGAUGGGAUGUCAAUGAGUACUUUUAAUUGGGAUUGAGAAUGUUGUCAACCAAUCUCAAUAUUUAACAACCACCAUGAUAGUUAAAUAAAUUUAUUCCUUUGUAGUAGGGAAAAAUUGGCUUUACGCAAAACUGUAACCAUAGAGAUUUCCACCAGCCAAAUAUGCAUGUAGUAUAGCUUACUCUUUCAUUACUCUCUAUGUGUUACAUUGCCAGCAUACUCCAUGUGCUGACCCAUUUCGGGCUGCAACGUUUCAUGUUGCAGACUUUUCAGACGACGAGUAAGGUGCCUUUAGGUCGUGGUUCCAUACUCAGUGAUGCCGUUGGAGUUGAUGGACUCACUUAUCUUCCAAGCCUUCCGUUGUUAUCGUAUUUAGAUGGCCUUAAGCCAUAUUUAUUGUAAUAAGCUCUCUUUGGAGACACUCGAUGUAAUAAGUGUGUGAUUGCUACUCUGUUAUAAAUCCUUCAAGUACUGUGCGUGUCAGCAUUACUGAUCUAGGGAUGACACUGAUGCACAGAGAUCAGACUGUCUGAGGUCUGGUCGCUACACUCGGAAAUACAAUGGUUAGCACACACAAGGUGUCCAUCAAGUAAGCAUGAGGUCGUCCAAUGGAAUUGUUCAUGAAAAGGCACAAUAUGCUUAUCCAGAUGAUGUAAAAUGACGUGUAAAGCAUUCAUGUUGUCAAAUUCACUGGAGGCAUGCACAAAGGUGUUGUGAAUAUGAUGAAUGCGGCCAUUGUGCAAAAUGAUGUCAUAAUGGGAUGGUGCAUCAAAAGCAUGAACAUGUCAAUGGAUGCUUAAUACGUUUAUGUUAUCAUGCAAUUGAUGGUGGACAAUAUGAUCAUGAUGUAUGAAUAUGCCAUCAAGAAAGAUCACAAAAAAUCUGCUAAGGAAGUGCACAAGCUCAUAUAUCAUGGAUGACAUGGGAAUAUAAUAUGCAACAAGGCAAUCAUAAUGUGAGUCAAUCCAUGCAUAGGGUGCAAACUUACGGUGAGUAUGAUAUGUCCAUCGAGCAUGACAUGUGGGAGCACAAUCAACAAAUAUGGAGGUGUGAGUGCAAUGUGCCAAAGGAGUGUUGAUGUACCAAUGCUCAAUGUCGUGGCAUGAGUGGAAGUCCGAAGGUGCAUCCAAUAAGUCCGAGCGCUCCUCAAUGUAAAGGUCCAUAGAGCCAAUCUCCAAUGUCGCUCCUUCUUUCGCGAGAUGUAUCAUGUAGACAACAAGAAGGAAACAACAAUGAAAGAAUGACCCAUCUAAUGUGCGUAUUUGAGGAUGGCUCAAAGGGAUGGAGUUCACCUUUAUGAGGAUGUUGAAAAUGUUGGUGUCGCGCAUCAUAUAGACCUUUGGAUGACGAAUAUGGCUCAUGAUGGUACCGCCUUGUGAAUCCUUCAAAAUGAAAGAAUAUGACAAACACUCAGAAAAACAAAUGAGGUUAGCAGAAGUGCAAAACCUAUCAUUCAUGUGGUAAGAUACCCAACAAGUGUAUGCAUCAUGCUCAUCAUAAGAAAGUACAAGGGAGCAUUUCAUAGUACGGAGGCAUAUGAUGCGAGAACAACCAAAAGCAUUAAGCUCAAUCAAACAAGUAUGCAUCACAAGUAAGGUGUCAAAGUCUCCAAGAUUAAUAAGCAUAGUAUGGUUGCACACAAUACAAGUGGAUAUGAAAGAGGCAACUAAUGGACACAAGAGACAAUGAUCAAGAUAUAUCAUGUGAGAGGCAUGAACAUAUAUGUCAUCAACCCAAGGAAGCGAGUAAGAGUGGAACAUGGGUGAUGCAACAUAGCAAGCAAUCAUAGCGAUCAAGUCAAGCAUGCUAGUAGAUGCAACAUACUAGAGGGAAUCAUGGCAAGCAUGUCACGUGUGCAAAUAGUGAGCAUAUAUAAUGCACAUGACAUAUCACAAGCAUGAAAACAAAAUAUGAGAAAAGUAGGUUCAUGGUGUUGGCAAGAAGUCCUAUGUAAAUAGCAAUGGGACCUCAUAAAUCUCCCAACACAACAAACCUCAAUAUCAUGGGGCACAAAGAAAUCAUGGCAAUAACUACUAGGAUCUCCACCAAGCAUGCAGAUACGUAUAGGAGUAGCAUAAUGGUGAAUCAUGGGUAGAUGCAAGCAAGGGUCACAAUUGCAUGGCAAAAUCAUGUAAAGAGGCAUAACAUGCAAAGUGAACACGAUAGUAUGGGCAUAAAGUGACAAGUGGUAAAUAGCCCAUAGCCAUGUGAGAGCCAAGUAGAAGAGAUGCCCGUAGUCCUUGCGUGAAGGAAACGGUGGGAAUGACAAUCCACGGGAUCCCAAAUCAUCGUUGCUCUCAAGAGCUCGUUUCGUCAACUCAUGGGAUUGUGAGGUUGACGAGUGUUCAUAAGUACCUACACAAAACAAAGGCAAAGGAAAAAUUGUGUGUGCGUGGUAUAUGUACACAUCAUCCAUCAUGAUGCGCACGUGCUUGUGUUGGUUAGCACAAAAUAUCCAAUGCUCAAAUAAAUGAGAUGCGUGAUAUAGAAACAUGACAUCCAUCAUGAGAGGUUUGUUAUUAUGUAUGGCAUAAUGGAGACUCAAAGGAUGUAAUGCAUCAUGAGAUAUAUGUAGAGCAUUGUUAUUCAUGGAAUUUAUAUGGUGCACGCAAUCAUGGAAAUUAUGCAAAGUAUGGAAUGCAUCAAAAUCUCCUAAUAUGUAUGAGGAAACUAUGGGGGUCUCCUCACGAGCAUUAGUGUAAACAUCACAUGGAGAAUAUUGACAACAUCCAAAAUAAUGCAUAUUCGAAACAAUGUGAUCAUGGCAUGUCAUAGUAGAUGAAUUGGCAAAUCAUGUAAAGGAAGCAUGGCAAUAUCAUCGCAAGAGAAGCAAAAGCCAAUGACCAUCAUCUCGUCAUCUAUGACAUAAGUGCAAAUGGGAUUUAUUUUAAUGGGGCAUGCAUAGUUACUAUGUUGAGAUUGAAAUGAUGCAAUAUGGGAGAUUUCACUCAUAGCAUAUGACAAGUUUAAAGGAUUAUCAAACAUGAUGUGACCAAAAGAAUUUUCACAUGAUAUCCUAUGGAGCAUAGCAUCACAACUAGGCAACUCAACAUGCUCGUCAUCAUAUUCAUCAUAAAUUGGUAAGUCAAGACAUGAGGAAGUCGCACUAGCAUGAAGCACGGAAAUAGGUGUGUCAACAUCAUGCAAGUAAUCAUUGGUAAUAUAGUCCGCUCGUGGGGCAAGAGAAGCACCGUCACCUAUGUUACCUUUGGAGCGUCGCUCAUGUGUUGUAGGUGAGGUGUCGAAGAUCCACUCGUUGUCAUCUUCAUCUUGAUGGAACCAUGUGUGGGGUGCAUGAUCGUCCACCAUAGCCAUCGUCGUCUCCUUUGGAGGUAUGGAGUCGCCGAGGAUAGGCAUGUUGUCAUGUAGGAGACCUAGCACCAAAGAAGAAAACACACUAGGAGUAGAGGUAAGUCGUUAGAAAUCAUAGUGGCCUCACAUGCCGUGUCAACUACCUCACUCGCUAAGUGUUGUGGCUCACUCACUCCCUCAAGGAUGCUCUCACUCAUAUGGUUGGUGGAGUCACUCAAAUGGCGCUCAACCUCACAUAGGAUGUGUGGCAUGCUCUCAUGUGUGGGGCUAGUGGUGGUCACACUCAUCCUCUCAUGGGAAAUGCACUCAAUGUCAUAUAUGGUGGAGUCACUCAUCUCACUCAUGGGGUGGUGGCUCUCCUCACAUGACAAAUGGGACAUCUCGACAUAUGUGGGUGUCGGAGAGAUGUAGGUGCAAAUGUCUCCAUGCUCAACUCCUAUCACGGCCUUGGUUGAAGGGAUAGUCCCAUGCUGAACCUCCUCAUCCAUAAUGCCUCCAAAGAUGAAUGCCGUAGGAUGUGGCAAAACAUCUCUCUCCUCCGAGACCAAAGAUAAAUUCUCGUGUGCAGUCUCGUAGCUUAACUCAGAAUAUGAGUCCACUAUGGGCGCCGUCUUCACGUUGUUGAAGAGGUUCAUGCUCAUCGCCAUAGCCGAAGGGGAUGGCCUUGCUCGACCAUCUUGUUGCCGUCUUGUUGUUGGAGGCCCAUAUGAUGUGGCACCUCGUAGCUCGUCUCCAUGACUGAAGGGAAAUUCCCUUGCUCGGUCAUCUUUCUUGAGGGGCUUCUGAAGAUGGAAGUGUCGCCCUCGCUCGUAGGUGGUCGUCUUGUUGUUAAAGAUGUCGAUGUAGGCGAACUCAUGGGAAGUAGGCGAAGAUGUCGUACGUCCAAAGGCGAAGAUGCCUUGAGAACACUUGGCGAAGAUGCCGAAGUGGUUGGUGUAGCCUUAGCUCUGUCUUGAUGGUGCUCAUCUAGCGGUCUUCUCUUUUGCUCAUGAAGCUUCGACUUGGCGUGAGGUAGGGCUUGUUGGGACUUGUGCAUUUGCGCUUGUGGAGCAUCUGCAUGAUGAUGAUGUUGUUGCCGUGCUUGAGCUUGUAGUAGAUGUCAUUCGUCGUUGCUGUGCACGUGUUGCUUUGAGGUGACUUUCCCUUCAUGACGAUGUUGAUCACGAACGUGAUGGUGGUCGCCAUGGAGAUGAUCGACUUGGUCGUCGCUGCCUUGAAGAUGACGAAGGGGAAGUAGACUUGAUUAAGGCCCAAAUCUCCUCCAUCCUUGCAUCUUCCUCCUCCUUUUGUGCGGAAAGCUCAUUGUCGAAGUAGUCUCUUGUAUGUGCUUCGGAGUGUCGUAUGUCGAUGGCAAGAUUGUCGAUGCGUUCUCGCAAUCUUGAUUGUACGCCUUGCAUUUGUCAUUGUAGAUCGCGGAGUGACGAUUUGGCGAUGUAGUUGUUCACAUCGUCGUUGUUGUCAAAGACCGGAGAUGAAAUGCCUUUCCUAUCCAUCACAAGACUCGAGCAAAUAUGAGUGGAAGAAAGGAGAGAACUAUACCAAAUGUACCUUGACCAAUGUUGAAAAUGGAUCGAUGAUCACUCAAUGAUGUAACAAGGAAAUAGCACAAUUGGUACCGAUCUCGUCAAUUUCUCACACCUACACAAGUAAGGCUUAUGGUGGAGCUCGGUGAGGAAAGUGGCACAACAAUUUGAUGCAAAAUGUUAGCAAGAGUUAAUAAUGUUGCAAGAGAUUCAAAAAUUCGCAAGCGAAACAAGUAGACCAAUAGCAAUGAAUGGCACACGGAAACACACACACGGAUAGAUAAAUGGGGUUGUGCAACCAAGGAAUGAGCACAAAAUGUGGAAUCCACGAAAAACGCUCGUGUUGCACAACUCAAAAGAGACGCUAGCACGAUUGCUCAACAGGCAGAUACGACACUUGUGCACAACCUAUAAGAUGCAAAAUAUAGCAACUUCUAUCCCAAGUAUGCUAUGUAUGUAUGAUGUUCCCGGUGGUUAACAAGAUGAUCCAAGAUGAUCGGAUAUGACAAUCUUAUAUGCAAUGUGGUAUGAUGCUAUGGCACUUGCUUACAAGCUUCUUUGCUCUCUUUCUUUUGCUUAAAAGCUUUAUUUCUUUUUUUUUGUAUGGCCACUUUUGCACCAAUGCACAAUCCAAGAUAGCAAUAGUGUAUAUGCGGGAACAAACUUGUGACACAAGAUAUCAUAUGAUAGCAAGAUGAUACCAAUAUGAUAUGGUAUAUAUGCAAUAGGAGGUGUAGACCAAUGAUCACUAAUGUGCACAAGUAACAUUUCCGGCAAUACUCAAUGGCUAGUCUUGAUAGGCAAGUGACGCAAAAUGGGCUAGGGGUUAUCAAUGCAAUUGCAAGGGGAACAUACAAUGAUGUCGUCAAGGUUACCGUCCAUGUCGAUGAUGAGAGCUGAUGUUGUCAAAGUCGACCCGUUCCUAAUUAGCCGAAACACCUUAGGAAACGGAAAACCCGCAAACUCAAAAUCUCCAAAUGUCAAAUGGUGGUAGCGGAAAAGUGGUGGUGGUUUGCACUUGGCAAUGCGGAAGUGGGAUGAUGGGUUAUACGAGUCGGCAAUGCAGAAGUGGAGUAAUGGGCUAUACACAUGUCAGAGUUGAUGUUGCCGUCCCUAAGUAGCCGAAACACCUUAGGAGACACAAGCCACAACUCAACAAGCUCAAACAAAAUUGUGUUAAGUUGGGGUGGCGGAAGUGUAUGGUGGGCAAGCUUAUGCGGAAGUUAUGGUGGUUGUGGUUGAUGAAGAAGCAACCGUCUCUAUGUAGCUGAAACACCUUAGGAGACUCGAAUCACUACUCAAACAACCUCAAAUGCAAUGGGGUGCAAUGUGGGUUAGGUUGCGGAAGUCGGUGGUGGUAAUGCAGAUGAUAUGGUGGAAGGCCUAGGCAAAGAUGCCAAAGUGCCAAAACUUUGAUGGAGUCAAAUGGUGUUGAAACCUAUCUAUAUGGAUGGGGGAUGUCAAUAGCUACUCAACGAGCUAAACAACGUGAAAAUCCGACUCCGAAUGUGAAAGUUAUGGGCAAAACGGUGAAACACGGGAGGUUGAAUUCCUAGGGGUCGGACAUCCGGGGGUGGGCCCGGAUAUCCGGGGGCCAAUGUCCAGAACCGUGCAGAUUUUGUGCUCCAGGAGCCGGAUGUCCGGCCUAUGGCCCGGAUGUCCGGCCCGACGAUUCCAGAUCGGGAUUUUCACUUCGAAACUUGAUUUGGGGGUAGAAAUUGAUGAUUUCGGGGGCAAAAAUUGAGGAAUUUCAUGGAUGGAAGGUGGGGAAACUUGGGGAGAUGCUAGAUCCACUCGAAACCAAGCAAAUCCAUGGAUCAAAAUCAACAAAACAUCAUCAAACCAACAAAUCACAAAAAAUGGGGCUAUUUUUGGCGGGGAUUUUCGAAUUUAGGCAAGAACACACAAAAUUAGGCUAGAAAAACAAGGGGUAGGGGCUCCAAAUUCGUGAUCAACCUUGCUCUGAUCCAAGAUGAUGUAGGGUAGAACCCUAGAUGCCCGAUCUUUCACGAUUGGAGGGGAUCCUACGAAGAACAGAAAGAACACGAGGGGAAAACGAGGGGAAACACAAGAGAAAUCACUCAACCAACAAGAUCCGGUUACACAUAUGCUAGAUCCUCGAAACACAAAGAGAUACACGAUCCGAAUCCAACAAAGGACGAUACAAGAGGCGGUAGUUCUUCUCUGUGAGGAGGUCUUGAAGGUCUUCCCGUGAAGGGGCCUUGAAUCCGCUUGGGGGAUCUUCUCCGAAGAGGUCAUGAGCUCCGAGGAGAAGUAACCAAGUGGAUGAGCAAAGCUCUAUCUCAAAUGAGCUAAACCUAUGCUAACCCUAAAAUGUAGGUGGAGGGGGAGUAUAUAUAGUCUAAGGGCGAAGGAGUACAUGGGCCUCGGCCCACAGGAUCUGCACGCAGGCAGGGGGCGGAUGUCCAGGCGUCGGGCCGGAUGUCCGGGCCUUCCCGAGACGCCGGAUGUCCGAGCGCUGGGGCCGGAUGUCCAGGAUGGCAGGGUCCAGCUUCUGUGAUGGGGCACCAGAUUUCUGAGGGUUGAGCCGGAUGUCCGGCUGUUCGCCGAGCGCCGGAUGUCCGAUGCCUGUAGGUGCUCUUCAGCUGGGCUUUUGCUGUAAUCGGAAUCUUCAGGGGCCGGAUGUCCGGGUCCUGUAGCACCAUGACGUCCUUCUUUGCCGAGCCUCUUCAUCCAUGUACUUGGGGACUUGUCCAAUGUUCCGAGUGUCUCCAUGGUCGUCUCCUCGGUUCCUGAGCACGUGUAAUGUCUUUGCAUAAGGUAGCAAUCAUGCCUCACAUGAAUGGAAAGGGGAAGCAUUUAGGAGCGGGUUCACCUUGUGUCCAAUGGCGUAUGCUCGAGGUCUCAACAUGUGGGCACUUGGGGCUUGGGGAGUAGUCGUAGUGUACAUAGGGAUGAUCGUAGGAUGCUCUGCAUCACUUAGCUUUGGGUUCAAUCUUGAAGUGUCCUUUCCCAGUGACAGUAGGGGCAACAAGGCAUGUAUUAUAUUAUUGCCAGGAUAACAAGAUGGGGUUUUCAUCAUAUUGCUUGAGUUAAUUCAUCUACAUCAUGUCAUCUUGCUUAAUGCGUUACUCCGUUCUUUAUAAACUUAAUACUCUAGAUACAUGCUGGAUAGCGGUCGAUGUGUGGAGUAAUAGUAGUAGAUGCAGGCAGGAGUCGGUCUACUUGACACGGACAUGAUGCCUAUGUCCAUGAUCAUUGCCUUAGAUGUCAUCAUAAUUAUGCGCUUUUCUAUCAAUUGCUCGGCAAUAAUUUGUUCACCCAUCAUAAUACAUGCUAUCUCGAGACAAGCCACUAGUGAAACCUAUGGCCCGGGGUCUCUUUUCCAUAUAUUGAAUCUCGUAUACAUCUUGCUAGUUUCCAAUCUAUUAUUUUGCAAUCUUUACUUUCCAAUCUAUACAUCAAAAAUACCAAAAAUAUUUACUUUACUAUCUCUAUCAGAUCUCACUUUUGCGAGUGACCUUGAAGGGAUUGACAACCCCUUUAUCGUGUUGGUUGCAAGUUCUUGAUUGUUUGUGCAGGUAUUCAGUGACUUGUGCGUCGUCUCCUACUGGAUUGAUACCUUGAUUCUCAAAAACUGAGGGAAAUACUUAGCUACUUUGCUGCAUCACCCUUUCCUCUUUAAGGGAAAACCAGCGCAAGCUCAAGAGGUAGCAGAAGGCACUUGCUAUUCCAAUCUGUUGCACUUGCUAUUGGAGGGCUCAUAUUGUUGCACUGGAUUUAAAUUAAUCAUGUACUACUGAACAACAAGCCCUACUCCUACUACUGUCCAACAAACAGCAAUAUUUCACCCAAUAUAUGGCAUUUUCACACAAAUUACUGGAGUACUCUCUUUUGUCACAAGUUCAUGUUCACAUGAGUUUGUGUGAGUUCCCUUUUGUCACAAACCAAAAGCUAAGAAACAAAUCUAAACAAGUCACACAGGAAGAACAUAUCCUCCUUUGUCACACAGGAAGUAGUACAAAAAUAUGGAUUAAUUUCCUUUACCAUUCACAACGCCUCCAAUAUGAACAAAUCUAAACAAAUCUACAGCUAAGAAGAUAUCAUCCUUUACAUUUUUGAAACACAGUCACAUAGGAGUAUGGAUUAAUUUCGAUUUUGUAUGAGCUUAACAUUUUUGUGUGAGCUUCAUACUAGAUUCAUAAUGGAGUUUGUUCAUAUUUUUGCAACACAGUCACACAUGAGUAGUACAAAAAUAUGGAUUAAUUUCCUUUACAUUUCACAGUCACACAGGAAGAACAAAAUCUUCUACAGCAACAUAGUUUCCUUUUGUGUGAGCUCCCUUUUGUAACAAGUUAAUGUUCACAGGAAGAACAAAAUCCUCCACUUCCCUAACAAAAAUCACAUCUGCACCUAAGACGAACCCACAAACAAACGGAUUCCUUAGCUUGAGGUUCAGCAGAACCCCCUUGAGGUUCUUCUGGGCGACCUAGACGGACCCCUCCUCCGUCAUCACCACCUCGGCCGCCGCCUCCUCCGCCUCCACAUCGUCAUCUUCCUCAAUAUUCUGCACCACAGCACACGCAUUAACCCCCGUGAGAGGCCAAGCCAUGGCGAGAGGAAGCACCCGCGAGAGAGGGAUUGAUUCCUUACCUUGCGGCAGCAGUACCCCAUGAAUAGGCGUUGUACUGUCACUCCGCUUCUUCGCUACCCCGUUGUUCCGUUGCUCUGUUGCUCUACUGCUACGGCGCCGCUCCGCCGCUCCACAUCCAAUGUCGCUUCGUCACCGGUGUCGGGGCACGUGGAUCCAGUGCUGGCGCACGCGGAACCAGCGCCUCCGCCGCCCAGAAGCACGUCGUGGGCGCUAAAAAAUUGAUAUUUUACCUUGGGGUGCUGGAUUUCUGGUGCCCGCUGUGGGAGAAAAUGGGGUGGCGCCGUGGGAGGAAGCCGGCGACGACAGGAGGAAAGGAGAGGCCGGCGACGGCGGGAGGAAAGGAGAGGCCGAUGACAACGGGAUGAGAGGAAAGGUGGGCAAGAGGAGAGGAUCUGGGAGGGACGGGCGAGAG